rnacentral:rRNA from 1 species
ACGCUCGACACCUACGGGGGGCAGCAGUUGGGAAUAUUGGACAAUGGAGGAAACUCUGAUCCAGUGACGCCGCGUGAAGGAAGAAGGUCUUCGGAUUGUAAACUUAUUUUGUCAGGGAAGAAAAAAUGACUGUACCUGAAGAAAAAGCACCGGCUAACUACGUGCAAGCAGCCGCGGUAAUCUGAGCGGGCUGGCAAGGC